UUUAAUCAUGCAGCCUGAAGUAUUUAUAUGGAUGAAUAUCAUGAUGCCCGGGAUUGGCUUCAAAGUAACCCCAUGGAGACGAGGGGUUAAUAUGAGUGUGUCCGACCGGCACAAGAUGGGCUGGAUAAGGCUAGGAUAUUCAUUAUAUGAAAAUUCUACUUUUAUAAAGGCUUGGAAUUAUCCGUAAUUAAAACAUUUCAAAAAUCUUCCACGAGCUCAAGGAGACUCCAAGCCUAUGGCCCUGGAUCACCUCCCUGAGACAGCUGGAGCAAAUGUCAAGCCCAGUGUUGGGAUGGCACCAGAUGGGGUGCAUGUAGCUUGGGAGACCUUCCUUGGCCCUAAAAGGGAGCACUGUCUCCCCCACACCUCCCCCUGCUGGGCAGCAUGGGCACUGCAUGCCACAGGCAGCUCGGCUUGGACACUUGGGCACAGAGCCCAUACUGGGUCCUCCACGUGACUCUCAACCUAACAAAAUGUUAAAGGAGAUGCUUUUUCUAUUAACAUAAAUCAGCAAACAUUUAUGAGCACUUCGGUAAGUGGUCCUUGAAGUCUUGGAUAGGCAAGAAGAGGGAGAAGCCACGGGGCAGGGGAAAGACUAACGUGCGUGGAUUUCCAGCCCAAUCCCAGCUGUCACCCCCUGACUGCAUGGCCUUAGACAUCUCUUGCCCUCCCCGUACAAUGGCGACAGUAAUCCAUGGCUCUACGGGUUAAAUGACCGCUGCAAGAGAGGGUUCGCAGCACAGGGUAGCCAUGCAGAGGACUUAACUGAAUGAAGGAGAAGAGGAGAGAGCCCAGAGCUGACCUGAUGCAAGGCUGGCCACAAUGCCUGUGUCCCUUACCUGACUGGCUGAUGAAAAAGCAAACGUCAUCCCUGAACACAGGUGUGUUCCUGUCCAGAAAAUCACUAGCAAGUUCAACCAUCACAGGAAGCUCAGUCAGUUCCUCCAAAACUUGCCGCGUCUGAAGCCAACAAGCAAGCAUGGAGACUAAAGUCAGUCACAGGCACGACAGGGACAUGGGGCAGCUGGGCUUCUAGGGACAGUUUGUGACACGGAACCUCACUGUCCAGGUGGCGAGGGGACUUCGGUCACCCACAGGCCACCUCGAAGAUAAAAGGGCUCCGUGUCAUUUCUCACGCUAGCUCAUGGGAAUGGGUACAAGGGCUUAGCCAAAUUCAGAAGGCCACAUGAGUGAUAAAACUGAAGGCCAGUGUCUGGUCCUAGACUGCCGUCGACUUCCCCACGCACAUGUGUCACACUUACAGCCACGGCAGCGUGGUAGCUGGUUCCACAGCCAAUCACGAUGAGCCGUCGGCAUCGUCGAAUCUCCUUCAAGUGGUCCUUCAAGCCACCCAGGAGCACUGCAGGGCACACGACAAGGCGUUAAUGCUGAGUCUACACAGUCACCGCAUUCCCUGAGACUAGGCUCGGGCGGAGGCUCCCCACCGAGUGUAGGAAUUACCUGUGUUGGUUUCAAAAUUCACCCGACCUCUCAUAGUAUUGAAAACUGAUUCUGGCUGUUCGAAGAUCUCCUUCUGCAUAAACGCACUGAAGUUACCUGGUCAAAUAAACGUCUGGUCAGUUUUAAUUUCAUUAUAUUUCACUGCUUUUCAUUAUGCAGCAGCGAUAGUAACUCCUGUAAAGCUUACUGCAGAUUCCCAAAGGCAUCCCCAGGGAUUACCCUGCCUGACACUCACUACCAUCAGAGGGAAGCAGGUCAGGAACCAGGACUAUCUCCAAUUUACAUAUUGGACCCUGCAGCUUGAGAAAGGGAGGGAUUUGCCCAAGGCAUGCAAGUAACAAAUGGCCUGGCUGAUCCCUCUGGGCCAUGCUCCCUUAGCAAGGCCAAAAGAAAGUAAAGUGCUUCACUCCCAAAAAGCCAUCCAGCUAGGAAAGUACAGCUAAGCAGGCCCAAAGAAACAGG
rnacentral:lncRNA from 10 species